CGUGCACCGGUGGGGUCCCUCGGCCUGGCCUGUGCCCCCUUGCAAUCUGGGACCCCUCAGGGAAUGUCGGAGAGUUGGUUUCAGCCUGAGCCCUGCAGGCCAAGCCGAGGGACCCCACCGGUGCAUU
rnacentral:pre_miRNA from 1 species